ensembl:lncRNA
UCCCAGGCAAUCAGAUCUGAAUCACCGAGUGUUGUCUUUUAAACCAUAUUACUCUACAGUUUACUGUGGGGUAUUUUCACUUAGUUACUAUGUUUUCAUUAGUUAAUUUAUGGGAUAUAGUUUGAUCAUUAUUAUUUGUUGUUGUGUUGUUGAGUUGCUAAGCCAUGUCCAGCUCUUUGUGACCCCAUGGACUGCAGCAUGCCAGGCUUCCCAGUUGUUCACCAUCUCCUGGAGUUUGUGCAAAUUCAUGUCUGUUGAGUCAAUGAUGCUAACCAUCUCAUCCUCUGUUGCCCCCUUCUUCUCCUGCCCUCAAUCUUCCCCAGCAUCAGGGUCUUUCCUGAUGAAUCGGCUCUUUGCAGCAGGGGGCCAAAGUAUUGGAACUUCAGCUUCAGCAUCAGGGCUUCCAAUGAAUAAUUCAGGGUUGAUUUAAGAUUGACUGAUUUGAUCUUGUUGUCCAUGGGACUCUCAAGAAUCUUUCCCAGGACCACAGUUCAAAAAUAUAAAUUCUUCAGUGCUCAGCCUUCAUUAUGGUCCAACUCUCACAUCUGUACAUGACUACUGGAAAAAAAAAUUGCUUUGACUAUACAGGCCUUUGUCAGCAAAAGUGAUGUCUCUGCUUUUUAAUAUGCUGUCUAGGUUUGUCAUCACGUUUCUUCCAAGGAGCAUCUUUUAAUUUCAUGGCUGCAGAUACCAUCUGCAGUGAUUUUCAAGCCCAGGAAAAGAAAAUCUGCCACUGUUUCCACAUUUCCCCUUCUAUUUGCCAUGAAGUGAUGGGGCUGGAUGCCAUGAUCUUAGUUUUCUGAAUGUUGAGUUUUAAGCCAGCUUUUUCACUCUCCUCUUUCACUGAUAAUUAAACAGGAAAAAAAAAAAAUCUCUGCGAGGGGCCUAGCGUUGGUUUCUUAGCCUCCCCACCUGAUGGCCACAGGCACCUGGUGGGGAGUCACAGAACACAGCGCUGUUUCCUGCGGGCUGAUGGAGCACACAGGCGUCAGAGGUCUCAGGAGAAGCGCUGGCCAGAGCUCCUAUUGUUUAAAAGGAAAUUCCUCGAGGCCCAGCGGAAAGCCUCCUACACUUGGAGAAUCCAUCGGAAGCCCACAUCCUC